rnacentral:lncRNA from 1 species
CAACGUAGAACGAGUUCAUACCCAGAAACUAAAUGGUAAUUAGCAAGAUGGAUUAUGAUACACUAUAAUAACAAUAUGCGACAAGCAUCGAGUGAGGUGAUAAUACUACACUAUGAUUAAAAGUGGUGAGCAAAAAGGCAUACAAUUUCAACACCAAAACAUUUAAACACAUGUACACUUGAACAUAAAAAAAGAAAAGAAAAAGGAACGGUUUGGUCAGCAACAUAUUCAUAUGGAUUUUUAUCUAAAAGUGUCUAUAAGAUUAACAUAACUCCUUAUUUUGAUCCUUGAAAUUUAACAUCGAUAAAAAUGGUUUAUGAAUUUGUCCACCGUCAAUCAUUUUGACCAUUCCGUAAAAAAUCUUCAUUAAAUAAAAAUAAAUUGACAAAAAUACUCUUAAAUAUAAAAAUAGUAAUACAAAUGUGCCGACAAAUGAAGCUGAUUAUAUUAUAUUUUCUGAAAUAUAAUAUUAUUCUAAUGAUGCAGGAAUUGAAUGGGAAUUUCAAAAGUCAGUUUUUCAUUGUUAUUCUUCAUUUAACAAACUAAAUGGACUUUUACCAGCUUCCAAGAAGCAACAAAUGCAUCAAGUAUUUAAGGUACUACAGACACCAAAUUUGUAAAUUAGAUUUGCAAAUUAAAUGAUAUGUCAUCAAUAAAAAUUAAGCACGUUAAUCAACGCUUAGGUAAUAAUCGAAUCAUCAACUUCUAUGUCAUUUAGUUU